AUACUUUACCUGGCAGGGGAGACACCAUGACCAAGAAGGUGGUUCACCCAGGGCGAGGCUCAGCCAUUGCACUUCGGCUGUGCUGACCUCUGGAAAUCUACCUUCCUGGUGGAGUCAUACUUGAGGACUUUUUCGAACGUGGACAUGAUUUGUGUCCGG